rnacentral:rRNA from 1 species
ACGGGUGAGUAACGCGUGGGUAACCUGCCUUAUAGCGGGGGAUAACUAUUGGAAACGAUAGCUAAUACCGCAUAACAAUAGAGAUUGCAUAAUCUUUAUUUGAAAGUGCCAACUGGUACACUAUGAGAUGGACCCGCGUUGUAUUAGCUAGUUGGUAGUGUAAUGGACUACCAAGGCGAUGAUACAUAGCCGACCUGAGAGGGUGAUCGGCCACAUUGGGACUGAGACACGGCCCAAACUCCUACGGGAGGCAGCAGUAGGGAAUCUUCGGCAAUGGACGAAAGUCUGACCGAGCAACGCCGCGUGAGUGAAGAAGGUUUUCGGAUCGUAAAACUCUGUUGUUAGAGAAGAAUGUUGAUUAGAGUGGAAAAUUAAUCAAGUGACGGUAUCUAACCAGAAAGGGACGGCUAACUACGUGCCAGCAGCCGCGGUAAUACGUAGGUCCCGAGCGUUGUCCGGAUUUAUUGGGCGUAAAGCGAGCGCAGGUGGUUUAAUAAGUCUGAUGUAAAAGGCAGUGGCUCAACCAUUGUGUGCAUUGGAAACUGUUAGACUUGAGUGCAGUAGAGGAGAGUGGAAUUCCAUGUGUAGCGGUGAAAUGCGUAGAUAUAUGGAGGAACACCGGUGGCGAAAGCGGCUCUCUGGACUGUCACUGACACUGAGGCUCGAAAGCGUGGGUAGCAAACAGGAUUAGAUACCCUGGUAGUCCACGCCGUAAACGAUGAGUGCUAGUUGUUUGGGGCUAUCCAGCCCUAAGUGACGCAGCAAUCGCAUUAAGCACUCCGCCUGGGGAGUACGACCGCAAGGUUGAAACUCAAAGGAAUUGACGGGGGCCCGCACAAGCGGUGGAGCAUGUGGUUUAAUUCGAAGCAACGCGAAGAACCUUACCGGGUCUUGACAUACUCGUGCUAUUCCUAGAGAUAGGAAG